rnacentral:rRNA from 1 species
CGCGUAGGCGGGAUGGCAAGUCAGUCGUGAAAUCUCUCGGCUCAACCGAGAAACGUCGGCUGAUACUGCCGUUCUUGAGGGAUGCAGAGGAGACUGGAAUUCCCGGUGUAGCGGUGAAAUGUGUAGAGAUCGGGAGGAACACCGGUGGCGAAGGCGGGUCUCUGGGCAUCUCCUGACGCUGAGGCGCGAAAGCGUGGGGAGCAAACG